AUGGCGAAGAGAAACACUGUUGGCCUACUACUUGUCCUUGCAAUUAUGCUCUCCUACAAUGUCUUGGAGGACGGUGCACACCAGAGCCAAGUUGUAUUCUCUCGCAAAGUGACGAAUGCAGAGCACAAAGCAUCCUUUAGCGGGAUGACUUCAUCCCUUGGUGGGCGUGUUUCUGGUGCGACCAAUGCAGGAGGUGUGAGAAAUAAUGCUGAAAUAGCAAAUGUUGAAACUACCACUACCAUAGAGUCCCACCGUGAUGUCUCCGUGGGAGAUUUUCGUGGUAUUAAUCACAAACCACCAACUUAUAACAGGCCAUACCAACUCGAUAUCCGUGGAUGA
rnacentral:rRNA from 1 species